AGUUUGAUCCUGGCUCAGAUUGAACGCUGGCGGCAUGCCUUACACAUGCAAGUCGAACGGCAGCACGGGAGCAAUCCUGGUGGCGAGUGGCGAACGGGUGAGUAAUAUAUCGGAACGUGCCCGGUCGUGGGGGAUAACGUAGCGAAAGCUACGCUAAUACCGCAUACGAUCUACGGAUGAAAGCGGGGGAUCGCAAGACCUCGCGCGAUUGGAGCGGCCGAUAUCAGAUUAGGUAGUUGGUGAGGUAAAGGCUCACCAAGCCGACGAUCUGUAGCUGGUCUGAGAGGACGACCAGCCACACUGGGACUGAGACACGGCCCAGACUCCUACGGGAGGCAGCAGUGGGAAUUUUGGACAAUGGGCGAAAGCCUGAUCCAGCAAUGCCGCGUGAGUGAUGAAGGCCUUAGGGUUGUAAAGCUCUUUUACCCGAGAUGAUAAUGACAGUAUCGGGAGAAUAAGCUCCGGCUAACUCCGUG
rnacentral:rRNA from 1 species